CGAACGCUGGCGGCGUGCUUAACACAUGCACGUCGAACGGAAAGGCCCUGCUUUUGUGGGGUGCUCGAGUGGCGAACGGGUGAGUAACACGUGAGUAACCUGCCCUUGACUUUGGGAUAACUUCAGGAAACUGGGGCUAAUACCGGAUAGGAGCUCCUGCUGCAUGGGGGGGGGUGGAAAGUUUCGGCGGUUGGGGAUGGACUCGCGGCUUAUCAGCUUGUUGGUGGGGUAGUGGCUUACCAAGGCUUUGACGGGUAGCCGGCCUGAGAGGGUGACCGGCCACAUUGGGACUGAGAUACGGCCCAGACUCCUACGGGAGGCAGCAGUGGGGAAUAUUGCACAAUGGGCGGAAGCCUGAUGCAGCAACGCCGCGUGCGGGAUGACGGCCUUCGGGUUGUAAACCGCUUUCGCCUGUGACGAAGCGUGAGUGACGGUAAUGGGUAAAGAAGCACCGGCUAACUACGUG
rnacentral:rRNA from 1 species